AUACGUAGGGGGCGAGCGUUGUCCGGAAUGAUUGGGCGUAAAGGGCGCGUAGGCGGCCCGGUAAGUCUGGAGUGAAAGUCCUGCUUUUAAGGUGGGAAUUGCUUUGGAUACUGUCGGGCUUGAGUGCAGGAGAGGUAAGUGGAAUUCCCAGUGUAGCGGUGAAAUGCGUAGAGAUUGGGAGGAACACCAGUGGCGAAGGCGACGUACUGGACUGUAACUGACGCUGAGGCGCGAAAGUGUGGGGAGCAAACAGGAUUAGAUACCCUGGUAGUCCACGCCGUAAACGAUGAGUACUAGCUGUCGGGGGUUACCCCCCUCGGUGGCGCAGCUAACGCAUUAAGUACUCCGCCUGGGAAGUACGCUCGCAAGAGUGAAACUCAAAUGAAUUGACGGGG
rnacentral:rRNA from 1 species